AUUGAACGCUGGCGGCAGGCCUAACACAUGCAAGUCGAACGAGUGGCGGACGGGUGAGUAAUGUCUGGGAAACUGCCUGAUGGAGGGGGAUAACUACUGGAAACGGUAGCUAAUACCGCAUACCAUCAGAUGUGCCCAGAUGGGAUUAGCUAGUUGGUGGGGUAAUGGCUCACCAAGGCGACGAUCCCUAGCUGGUCUGAGAGGAUGACCAGCCACACUGGAACUGAGGCACGGUCCAGACUCCUACGGGAUGCAGGAGUGGGGAAUAUUGGACAAGUGGCGCCAACCUUAUGCAGCCAUGCCGGGUGGAUGAAGGAGGCCUUCGGGUUGUAAAGUACUUUCAGCGGGGAGGCGUUACCCGCAGAAGAAGCACCGGCUAACUCCGUGCCAACCGCCGCGGUAAUUC
rnacentral:rRNA from 1 species